UACGUAGGGGGCGAGCGUUGUCCGGAAUUAUUGGGCGUAAAGAGCGUGUAGGCGGUUCGGUAAGUCUGCCGUGAAAACCUGGGGCUCAACCCCGGGCGUGCGGUGGAUACUGCCGGGCUAGAGGGUGGUAGAGGCGAGUGGAAUUCCCGGUGUAGCGGUGAAAUGCGUUGAUAUCAUCAGGAACUCCGGUGGCGAAGGCGGCUCGCUGGACCUCUUCUGACGCUGAGGCGCGAAAGCCAGGGGAGCAAACGGG
rnacentral:rRNA from 1 species